UACUAGCGGUCCAAGUCGCAGCCAUUUUUAUUGGGUCUAAAACAUCCGUAGCUUGCUUAGUAAGUUCCUUGUGAAAUCCUAUAUCUCAAAUAUAGGGCGUGCAAGGAGUACUGCUAAGCUAGAGACUGGGAGACGUAAAGAGUACGUUCGAGGUAGCGGUAAAAUGUGUUAAUCUCGGACGGACUAACAAUAGCGAAGGCACUUUACGAGAACAGUUCUGACAGUAAGGGAUGAAGGCUAGGGGCGCAAA
rnacentral:rRNA from 1 species